GAUGAACGCUAGCGGGAGGCUUAACACAUGCAAGUCGAGGGGCAGCAUAGGGUAGCAAUACUCUGAUGGCGACCGGCAAACGGGUGAGUAACGCGUAUGCAACCUACCCUGUACAGGGGGAUAACCCGGAGAAAUUCGGACUAAUAUCCCGUAAUAAUAUCCGGAGGCAUCUUUGGAUAUUUAAAGUUCCGACGGUACGGGAUGGGCAUGCGUAACAUUAACUGGUUGGUAAGGUAACGGCUUACCAAGGCUAUGAUGUUUAGGGGUCCUGAGAGGGUGGUCCCCCACACUGGUACUGAGACACGGACCAGACUCCUACGGGAGGCAGCAGUGAGGAAUAUUGGUCAAUGGGCGCAAGCCUGAACCAGCCAUCCCGCGUGCAGGAAGACGGCCCUAUGGGUUGUAAACUGCUUUUCCAGGGAGAGAAACUUACGCACGUGUUGCGUGACUGACGGUACCUGGGAAUAAGCAUCGGCUAACUCCGUGCCAGCAGCCGCGGUAAUACGUCUA
rnacentral:rRNA from 1 species